GCCAGCCCGCUCAGAAACUCAAAUGAAUUGACGGGGCCCGCACAAGCGGAGGAACAUGUGUUAAUCGAUGAUACGCGAGGAACCUUACCUGGGCUAGAACGCAUUCGGAAUCAGGCCGAAAGGCCUGCGCCAGCGAUGGCCGCUUGCGAGGUGCUGCAUGGUUGUCGUCAGCUCGUGCCGUGAGGUGUCGGGUUAAGUCCCAUAACGAGCGCAACCCCUACUGCUAGUUGCCAGCGGGUCAUGCCGGGGACUCUAGCGGAACUGCCAGCGUAAGCUGCGAGGAAGGUGGGGAUGACGUCAAAUCAGCACGGCCCUUACGUCCAGGGCUACACACGUGUUACAAUGGCCGGUACAGAGGGCAGCCACCCCGCGAGGGGGCGCGAAUCCCGAAAGCCGGUCCCAGCUCGGAUCGGAGUCUGCAACCCGACUCCGUGAAGCUGGAUUCGCUAGUAAUCGCGCAUCAGCCACGGCGCGGUGAAUACGUUCCCGGGCCUU
rnacentral:rRNA from 1 species